GUGCAUCGUUCCAUCACGAUCGUUUGUAAUGUUAUUUUCACUCCGAAAAAUUAUAACAUAACGUUUCAUUAAACUCAUAAAAUGUUCAUUUAUCUUCAACGUGUAUUUGAUUUGAUUGAUAAAUUGAUUUAUUGAUGUAUUUAAUUAACCUGGAAAAUAUCAUUGUCAUUGACAAUCAACAAAACAAAAGACUGAUGACGAAUAAUAUGGAAAAUGAAAAAAUGCAAACUCAAGGCAAAAAUAGAAUCCAUCUAAAUAUCAGAAUUAAAAAUGACAAUUUACGUGGAGUCAAGAAUGGACACAAAAACAACCAUAUAAAAUAAUAAAACAAGAAAUGAAAAUUCACAUGCGGUUUAGGU